ensembl:lncRNA novel transcript
ACUGACUUCGAGAAUGAAGCCACAGACCCUCGCGGUUCUGAGAGAUCAUGUCUGUUUCCACUUAAGAAAAAUAAAUAAAAGUUUUAAGGGAGUAAUUGAGCAAGAAAAGCAGAAAAAUACUGCUGAAUUGCACAGAAUGAGAAGGAAUAAAACAGGUUCACUAACUGAUUAAAGGCAGAAUAAUAGAAGAAAAAGCAUACAAAAUUAUUAAUGUGCCACAAGAGUCUUACAAAAGAAGAUCCCCCAAAAAGGGAUUGUCAAAGUAAAUGUUACACUGGAUAAAGUUACACAGAAGGUAGUUUACAACUUGAAGAAGGAUGUCCUAACCAGAGUUAGUCUCCUAAACUCCCACGGAAGCUGGAAGACUGUGGCACUCCCUUCCUUAAUGAUUACAUUUCAAAGACAUUAUCAAAGAGAUAACUCCCAGGCAGCAAGUGCUCUCCUUCUGUUUUUCAUGCAUGUGGGAGUCUCCAGCAUUUACAUUAGCAAGAGUAACAGCCGUGGUGGCAGCAUCUGGAUCCUUGAUUGACAGCAUUAUGGAAAGUUACUGGCCAGAUACUCCUUACUUAAGUUGGCACCAAUCAACUUGCCUGGGGAUCAGUCAAAUGGGGUGAGGUGAGGGGGACUUCAGGAGAUCCUUCCCAGAUGGAUGCCAAAUUCCUUUGAUAGCCCUGUCAUUGUCAAGAAUUUCUUCAAGUUUAUGUGUAUAAGAAUAAAAUCUUGUUCAAGUUUA